rnacentral:rRNA from 1 species
AGUGAACGCUGGCGGUAUGCCUAACACAUGCAAGUCGAACGGCAGCACAGUAAGCUCUUGCUCUUACGGUUGGCGAGUGGCGGACGGGUGAGGCAUACAUCGGAAUCUACUUUUUCUUGGGUGAUAUCGUAGGGAAACUUACGCUACUACCGCAUACGUCCUACGGGUGAAAUCAGUGGUUCUUGGGACCUUUCGCGAUUGAUUGAGCCGAUGUCGGAUUAGCUAGUUGGCUGGGUAAAGGCCCACCAAGGCGACGAUCCGUAGCUGGUCUGAGAGGAUGAUCAGCCACACUGGAACUGAGACACGGUCCAGACUCCUACGGGAGGCAGCAGUGGGGAAUAUUGGACAAUGGGCGCAAGCCUGAUCCAGCCAUACCGCGUGAGUGAAGAAGGCCUUCGGGUUGUAAAGCCCUUUUGUUGGGAAAGAAAAGCAGCAGGUUAAUACCCCGCUGUUCUGACGGUACCCAAAGAAUAAGCCCCGGCUAACUUCGUG